AUCAGCUGUUCCACACUUCCCGACCUGGCCAUUAAUCACACCACCCUUGCCGCGCCGCUCUCGUCCAAAACCCAGCGGCCACGGCGAUAUCUCCUCCCCCUUCCCUCCGGCAGCCGGCGGUGCCGAUGCACCGCAUGGCUCGCCUCCCGCUGCUGCCUGCUCUAGUGCUGGCACUCGCCUCCGCGCUGGCCCCGUCCGUCGUCGCCGACCCGCAGGCCACGCUGCUCAACCUGGGGUGCAGCCAGUACAACGCCACGCCCACGGCCGCCUUCCUCGUCGCCCUCAAUUCCACCUUCGCCAAGCUCCGCGCCAACCUCUCCGCCGGGGGCUUCGCCACGGCGUCGGAGCCGCGCGCCGCCGCGCCGGCGUUCGCGCUGGCGCAGUGCCGCCCGUACGUCACCGGGAGGGACUGCGUCGCCUGCUUCGACGCCGCGGCGGCGCGCAUCCGCGCCUCCUGCGGCGCCGCCAACGGCGGGCGCGCCAUCCUCGACGGCUGCGUCAUACGGUACGAGAGCGCGGCUUUCUUCGACCAGUCCACGCUCCCCGGCAACACGCAGCUCUGCAAUGGCUCCGCCGUGGCGGGCGGCGGCUUCGACGGCGCGGUGCGAGCGCUGAUCGGCGACCUCGCGGCCGCGGUGCCGCGCGCCCCGAGGCUUGCCGCGGCCGCCGCGGGCGCCGGCGUGUACGCGAUGGCGCAGUGUGUGGAGACGGUCGGGGCGGGGGGAUGCGCGCAGUGCCUGCAGGUGGCUUCGAGGAACAUUGGCGGCUGCUCGCCCAAUUCCGACGGCCGCGCCGUGGACGCCGGAUGCUUCAUGAGGUACUCUGAUAAGCGGUUCUUCCCAGCUAAUGCCACCGUAGACUUGGCGGCAUACUUGCUCUCUGGAAAAUCAAGAGGGAAGGGAGCCAUCAUAGGAGGAAUUUUGGGAGGUGUAGCCUUCCUGUUGCUUCUAGGGUUACUAGCUUUGUUGUGGAUCCGUCGUUCUAGGAAGCUGCAGAAGCCUCGGAGAGGUGAUAUACUUGGAGCAACGGAACUACAAGGUCCAACCAGUUUUUACUAUCAUGAUCUUAAGGUUGCAACCAAUAAUUUCAGUGAGAAAAAUAAACUUGGAGAAGGUGGUUUUGGAGAUGUAUUUAAGGGUUUGCUGAAAAAUGGGAAAACUGUUGCAGUAAAAAGAUUGACAGUAAUGCAAACCAGCAGGGCCAAAGCAGAUUUUGAAAGUGAGGUGAAGUUGAUUAGCAAUGUUCAUCACCGAAAUCUUGUAAGGCUUCUUGGUUGUUCUCGCAAGGGUUCCGAAUGCCUGCUUGUUUAUGAAUAUAUGGCGAACAAUAGCCUUGACAAGUUCCUCUUCGGUGAGAGACGCGGAACACUUAGCUGGAAGCAACGAUUUAACAUCAUUGUUGGCAUGGCUCGUGGCCUUGCAUAUCUUCAUGAAGAGUUCCAUGUGUGUAUCAUACACCGUGAUAUUAAAUCUAGCAAUGUUCUUCUUGAUGAUGACUUUCAGCCUAAGAUUGCUGAUUUUGGUUUGGCAAGGCUCCUACCUGAUGAUCAUAGCCAUCUCAGCACUAAAUUUGCAGGAACACUGGGUUACACUGCUCCUGAGUACGCAAUCCAUGGCCAACUAUCAGAGAAGGUUGACACAUACAGCUUUGGCGUAGUCAUUCUGGAAAUAAUAAGUGGUCGGAAGAGCAAUGAUACAAGGCUGGAGCCUGAAACACAGUACCUACUUGAAUCGGCAUGGAAGUUAUAUGAAAAUGAGAACUUGAUUAGCUUGGUGGACGAAUCGUUGGAUCGUGAAGAAUACAAGUCAGAAGAGGUAAAGAAAAUAAUAGAGAUAGCACUUCUGUGCACUCAAUCAGUGGUUGCUUCAAGGCCAACGAUGUCAGAGGUGGUUGUGUUGUUGUUGUCAAGAAAUUCUUCAGAAUUACAGCCCACAAGGCCCACAUUUAUUGAUUCAACAAGUAGAGUGCGAGGUGAAACAUCCUCCUCAAGUUCAUCCUCUGCAUCCAGGGCCACUGUCUCUAUUUCACAGUUUUCAGCCAGGGGUGACACCACCCUGCACUUUGUUGGAAACAAUGUCAUAUCUGAUAAGUUAUGGUGGAUGCGACAACAGUUGCUGAUACAAACUGCAAAUGAGAGGGAAGAUCGGAAACCAAUAUAUAGAGGCUUAUGUGGGUUCUGCAUGGGCUAAUAACCUUUCCAUGGCAGCAAUAUAAUUGUAUAUUUGGGAUUGCUCAGAAAGUUGGAGAUGAUUUGUCGUCCUACAGACUGACUACUAAAAUUCUUCAAUGCUGUCACAUAGGUAGUGAGCAUCCAAGUUGUUGCACACCAAUAUAUUGUUUCACAUUAUGUGAUGGAGACAAUUCAUCCUGUAAUUGAUGUAGACAGAUUUUCAAUUAUCAUACUACCUGUCUAUAGUAUCAGCAAAUUAUUGUAUCAUAGAGCUCUUAUAUGAGUAUGUCAUUAAACUAUUGUAUAUGAAC